rnacentral:lncRNA from 1 species
AUGCACUGGGAGGCACUGGGAGGCACUGGGAUGCACUGGGAGGCACUGGGACGCACUGGGAAGCACUGGGAGGCAGGCACUGGGAGGCACUGGGAGGCACUGGGACGCACUGGGAGGCACUGGGACACACUGGGAAGCACUGGGAGGCACUGGGACGCACUGGGAUGCACUGGAGGCACUGGGAGGCACUGGGAUGCACUGGAGGCACUGGGAGGCACUGGGACGCACUGGGAGGCACUGGGAUGCACUGGAGGCACUGGGAUGCACUGGAGGCACUGGGAAGCACUGGGAAGCACUGGGAUGCACUGGAGGCACUGGGAGGCAUUGGGAGGCACUGGGAGGCACUGGGAUGCACUGAGAGGCACUGGGACGCACUGGAGGCACUGGGAGGCAUUGGGAGGCACUGGGAGGCACUGGGACGCACUGGAGGCACUGGGAGGCAUUGGGAGGCACUGGGACGCACUGGGAGGCACUGGGACACACUGGGAGGCACUGGGAGGCACUGGGAUGCACUGGGAGGUACUGGGAGGCAGGCACUGGGACGCACUGGGACACACUGGGAGGCACUGGGACACAGUGGGACACACUGGGAUGCACUGGGAGGCACUGGGAGGCACUGGGACGCACUGGGAGGCACUGGGACGCACUGGGACACACUGGGAGGCACUGGGACACACUGGGAGGCACUGGGACGCACUGGGAGGGUCUUGCUCCCCAGGGGGCUUUUGGGGAGGACCCUGCUGCCUCAUCCAGCUCCGGCCGGCCCCUCCCUCCAGCGUCCGCCUCUGCCUGGCCUCUCCUUGUGUCAGUGCUACAGAAGCCUGGGGUAGGAAGACUCCCUCCGUUCACACAGGCACCGGAGGCAGUGGCGGGUCAGCAGUUUAUUACGCCAGGGCCUCAGCUGGAAUCAUUUCCCGAGAACUGAGCCACAAUCCAAGUGUCUUACAAUGUUUGCAGGUUCGUCAGUGUCGCCCCUUAGCUGUUACAGCAUCGGUGGGUUUAAAUCGCAGCCCGUGUGAGCUAGGACCACACUUCAGUGGUCGGUAGGCUGGUAUGUUUGUAAGAGAUCCCGGGGCAGACUCCUUAGGGCAGAUUUACGACAGGAGCUGCAGAAGCAGAGCUUAGGACGUCUUCCCUCCCCAGACAGGAUCAGGGUGGCAGCUGCUUUUCAAGGUCUGUGCUGGGAGGAGGGGCCUGUUUUUCCUUCUGUCUCUGGUUGUGGCCGUAUUUCCUCUACUUCUGUGUCUGCCACUUUCCCGUCUCACGGGACUGCUUGUCAUCAGCUCGGGGCUCACGGGUCCCGGAGGUCUCGCCCCACAAUCGUCCCCUCGGCUGCCCCUGACGUCAGGUCGCCUGCUUGGGUCCUGGUGCGCGCAUGCGCUUGCUCGUGCAGGGAGAUCCGUGUGCGGCUUCCUCCCCGCACUCAUUGCCCUGAACUUGGAGCCGCCUCGGCUCACAGCCCCGCACCUGCGUCUGGGAUGAGGCUGCGGCUGCCUUGAAUUCCCCUGUGCAGUUUUUUUCCUGUAAUCUUCAAGCUUUAUUUUUUUUUAAGAUUUAUUUUAUUUAUUUGAAAGAGAGUUACAGAGAGAGGUAGAGACAGAGAGAGAGGUCUUCCAUUUGCUGGUUCACUCUCCAGAUGGCCGCAAUGGCCAGAGCUGCGCCAAUCUGAAGCCGGGAGCUUCCUCCAGGUCUCCCAUGCGGGUGCAGGGGCCCAAGGACUUGGGCCAUCUUCCACUGCUUUCCCAGGCCACAGCAGAGCUGGAUUGGAAGAGGAGCAACCAGGACUAGAACUGGUGCCCAUAUGGGAUGCCGGCACCUCAGGCCAGGGCCUCAACCCACUGUGCCACAGUGCCGGCCCCAAAAUAUCGAUCACUUUAAAUUCAUGAAGGAAAUGAAGGAGGAAAGCCUUCUUGAAGUCCUGAGCUCCUCCUACAGCAACGGUCUCCAGGCUGUCAGGGUGGUGGGCUGCGCCCCUGGGGGAGGGGCGGAGGAGGACGGGCAGUUCCCCUCCCUUUGUCUGUGGGUCCUGAAGUCUUCAUCAAAUGCC